GCACAAUACAAACCAUCCCAACAUAAAUAUGUGCCGUGAAUGACUUUUAAAGUUUGAAAAAUAACAAUUUAUCCUGGAAUAUAGCUGUCAGUAUAAAACACGCGCGCUAGACUAUAACGGUGAUGUUAUGAUUUUGUCGUGCUUAAAUUUUACAAUAAUUCUCACUAAAAUAUCUUGAAAAUCAUUGUAAGUCUGUUUAUAUAAAGCAUACAAAGCAUAUACAUCGACAAGGAACCGCAAAACUCAAAAUUUGAACUUCGUGAUCGAAUGACAUAAAACUGACAUGUCAACUCUAGCAUUUCCGUCUUUGGUCGCGUAAGGGCCUGUUCAUAUGAUCCCGCUUACCGGGACGUCUCCCUUACCGAGACGAAUAUUUCCGUGCGUUCAUAUGGAGUAUUUCGUCCCGCUUGCCGAGAUGAAAUUACAUUGUAGUUCUAUAAUUAGCGUAUGCAAAACUUCUACAUCGUUUCAGUCAAGCAACACAAAUACUUGGCGAUUUUAGUGUUUUUCUUCGUUUAUUUACAAGAAAAAGUAUUGCUUCAGGUGGUUAUUUAAUACUUGUUUACAAAACAAACAUAAAACCAAGUAAAAAGUGUUAAAUUAAACCGUCAAGACUUGUUUCACUUCAUCCCGGUAAGCGGGCUGGCGUGUUCAUAUGGAAAAAUUUUCAUCCCGCCUACCUAUGAUCUCGGCAAAUUCAAACGAGAUCUCGGCAAGCGGGCCAGGUCGCUUUCUCAUAUGAACACAAUGCAAAAUUUUAUAGGAAAAUAGAUAGGCGGCGAGAUCAUCGGUAAGCGAGACGUCCCGGUAAGCGGGAUCAUAUGAACAGGCCCUUAUAGAGAUGAAUUUCGACAUUAAGAUUAAUAAAAUCGGUUUAGUAGAAUCAACGUUAUGGCUGUUUUAAAAUAAAAUUUGGUUCACCCAAUAUAGCUUUGAUGACACCUUACUUUAAACAGCCAUAGAACUGUCUAAUGGAACAAUUUUAAUGAUCUUGAUGUCAAAAUUAUAUUUUCGAUGAAAAAUCUCACAUUUUGUAGCAAGUCUGCCAACAAGCCGUCAACAAGUUGUGUUCGCACUGCUUGUCACAAGUUGUCAACAAGUUUGGAACAAGCUGUUAACAACUUGUAACAACCUUGUUAAUAUUAUCAGACUUGUUGCAAGGUUGUCCCAACAAGUCCGAUACAGUCAUGAUAUAACAAUAUUGUUGCAAACUUGUGUCGUCAACCUUGUAACAUUCUUGUUAUAUCAUGCCUGUAUCAAACUUGUUAGAACAACCUUGCUACAAGUCUGAUAGCAUCAUCAAGCUUGUUACAAGUUGUUCACAGCUUGUUCCAAUAACUACAUACGUAAAAACGCACAAGUUGUUAUAGGUCUGCAAGCACGUUGUUACAAAUCUGUUGUCGACACGUUGUGUUCAAGUUGUUGUAACAAGUUUGGAACAAGCUGUUAACAACUUGUUACAAGCUUGAUGGCAUUAUCAGACUUGACACAAGGUUGUUCUAACAAGUCUGAUACAGUCACGAUAUAAGAAGAAUGUUACAAGGUUGAUCACACAAGGUUGUAACAAUAUGGUUAUAUCAUAACUGUAUCGGACUUGUUGGAACAAGUCUGAUAAUAUCAACAAGGUAUUACAGGUAAACUACGUGAAGCGUUCCUCUUUUGACGUCGUAACUCAUUUGGAAUUUUCGUCAUUAGGUUUGCAAAUUUGAAAAACUCUUUGCAAAUCCCUUGAGGGAAUUUGCAAUGUUCCUAUCGGCUGUUGCAAUAUUCCAAUGCAAACAAACUUCAUUUUUAAUUUUCCUAACUUCCUGUUUUAAUUUCCUAACUUCCUGUUCUGUUCUGAGCGUUGUUAUUGGUCGAUUAUUUUUGUUAGCCAAUUGCAACGCCCAGAACAGAACAGGAAGUGAGGAACUUCUAACAGGAAGUUAGGAAAAUUUAAUUGGGUUUUAGCAACAUUGCAAAUUUCCUCAAGGGAUUUGCAAGGGAGUUUUUUAAAUUGCAAAAGUAAUGAGGAAAAUUGCAAUCAAUUUAGAAACUCAAAAGAGGAACGCUUCACGUAGUUUACCUGUAAUAUCAUAAAGAUAUUUAAAUUUUAAAACAUUAACAUAUUCACGCAUGUGGGGCUCAACAUAAUGUCCACAAUAUGUCAUCGCUUUUCUGUACAAGUAUAUAUGUCAUAUACUCUGUUUUAUCGGUGCUUCACAGAUAAAUUAUAGGAGCUAGGAAGCUUUGUUAUUUACAUUAAGUUAAAAACUAUACACAUUUCUUUAAGAAAUCUUACGACCAUCAGAUGAUGCAGUAAAACAUUCCAUGUGACAUUGUCUUUAAAACAUCACGAUUUCAUAUCUGAUAAAAUAGAAAUAUUCAAACCUCAACGCUAACCAGUGGUAGUGUAGUCGUGAAAUGCCUCUCAAAAGGGGUGGGGGUGACAAGGAGUGGGGGGAAAGGGGAGUGGGGUGUUCCAGUUUUACUUUUGGUUGUAGCAAUUCUUGCGCCGAAGCGGAAUAAUGACGUCAUGUUUUACGUCUGUUACUCUGUUCACAGUAA
rnacentral:lncRNA from 1 species